rnacentral:lncRNA from 1 species
GUUUGUUUAAGUUGGUACUAUUUUGGAUUAAAUUAGUUUUCAUUUGGACAACUUAAAUGGGUUCAAAUAAUUUUGAAAUGGUUUAAGUUAUAAAUAUUUUUUUUUUAUUUUGAUGGUAAGAAAUAGUUUUAUAUUUAUAUUGUAAUAGGCCUAUUUUGCCCGGCCCGAGCUUAAAUCAACAAAAACAAAAAUCUAAAAAAAAUAACAAAAGUCCAUUAGUACAAGGUCCAAAUUACAAAACAGGCUACAGGCCCGAUACCCAAGUUACAAGCAUGGACUCAAAACUCACUACCCAAUUUUGCAAACUCUGAGCCCAGCCCGAAAACUUAACAUUUUCGGAGGAACCCUAGGGUUCCCCUCUCCAGCGUCGCAGCUCCCCCCUCGUGCCUCGAGCGCACCACUCGCUCCUUGGACCAAAACGGAAACCUGCCCCCGUUAACUCCUAGCAGACCUGCAAAGUAACCCAAAAAGAAGCAAAAACACAGCGAAAACGCUGCAGCAGAAGCAAGGCCGAAUAGUGAUAGAACAGUAACAAGUAUUUUGGCUAUAAAGCCACACAAAAAACGAUUGUCAAAAGGGGGAUUUUGGAAAUAAAAACUCGAUAUUCGAAAUAUAAAAAAAAAUCCGAUAGAAAUCGAAAUCAAAAAUAAUAAAAAGGUGGUUCCUUUAUUCGUUUUUGCUUUGAUUAUUCUGUUUGGAUUUUUCUUUUUCUUUUUUUCUCUUUUGUUUCCAUUUGAAACUACUACAAAAAUACGAUAAGGUGAAAGAUUUUACCUUUUUUUGGUGUUGAUAUUCUUCGGCUAUCGCUUCUCUGGUCUAAAAGCCAACGGAUCCUUAGGUGUUCGGUUAAGGUUGCAACGGAAGAAGUCAAAGGUCGGAAGUCAAUUGGUUUAGGGAUUUUGAAGGCCCUAAAUCUAUUUUAUAUGAAAGAAAUGAGGGUUAUAUCGGGCUUCGGGCAACAUUCCGGCCACCACCAAUGGUGGUUACCUUCGCUAGUACGAAGGGUGGCCGACGGAACUUAGCAAAGCCCUAAGUCCCUCUCUAAGAAAUUUGGGGAUGACCCUUUUGUUUUUUUAAGAAAAUACUGCAUAAAUGGUUUUUUUUUUUUGAGAAAUUUGGACUUUUUAAUAUGACCAUACGGUGCCGUUUAGGGAUAUAAGCCUAAAUGGAUAAAACGACGCCGUUUCACGCCAUACUCGCGCGACCCAACCCGAGUACUCUCAGGAUUUGC